UGUGACAACGACAAUGAACCGACAAGAAGUGAAAGAAGAAGUGAAAGAAACCAGGGAACUAAAUACAAACAGAUUGACGAGACAACGAGGAACACCUGGACAAGACACGAGUGGCUGGAGAGAGCUGAUUGGUCAACACAAGCCUGUUUAAAGCCCGUCAAGUUCUACAGCCUUCGCCUGAGCAUUGACGCUUGUUGUGACGCACCGGCCGACUCUCGUGCGCCCAGACACGCCGCCAAGCCACACCACCUGCUCACGUUCCCGCUUUCUGCUCGCUCCUUGUUCCCGAAAGCCCGCCACCUCGCCUUGGAUAUCCUCACCCUAUGCCAACCUACAAUAAACCAUUCUAGCCUCAGUCUGCUCUUGGGUCGAAUUCACAUCCUACUACGCUCCGUGACAGUUAUAUGAAGUAACAGAUAAGUAAAGUCCAUGUUGAUCGUAUAAGCCAACUAAACCAAAGCGCUGCUUAUUAAUAGCAGAAGUGGGACAUCAACUAAAAUGAAAAAAAAAAUUACAUGAAAUAAAUUAUGAGCUAACCUUAACAUGGUGGAUGAUAUUUUUUAAUGAGGACAAACAGGUGUGUGUGGGCUUCAAAUCCCGGCCCCGCUUGUGUGGAGUUUGC